UACGUAGGGGGCAAGCGUUGUCCGGAAUCAUUGGGCGUAAAGCGCGUGUAGGCGGUUCGGUAAGUCUGCUGUGAAAGUCCAGGGCUCAACCCUGGGACGCCGGUGGAUACUGUCGGGCUAGAGUGCGGAAGAGGCGAGUGGAAUUCCCGGUGUAGCGGUGAAAUGCGCAGAUAUCGGGAGGAACACCAAUUGCGAAGGCAGCUCGCUGGGACGUAACUGACGCUGAGACGCGAAAGCGUGGGGAGCAAACAGG
rnacentral:rRNA from 1 species